UACAGAGGGGGCGAGCGUUAUUCGGAAUUAUUGGGCGUAAAGGGCGCGUAGGCGGCCAUUCAAGUGACGGGUGAAAGCCCUCGGCUUAACCGAGGAACUGCCUGUCAGACUGGAUGGCUCGAGACCGGGAGAGGUGAGUGGAAUUCCCAGUGUAGCGGUGAAAUGCGUAGAUAUUGGGAGGAACACCAGUGGCGAAGGCGGCUCACUGGACCGGAACUGACGCUGAGGCGCGAAAGCGUGGGGAGCAAAAAGG
rnacentral:rRNA from 1 species